GGGGAUUUAGCUCAGUGGUAGAGCGCUUGCCUAGCAGGCACAAGGCCCUGGGUUCGGUCCCCAGCUCCA
rnacentral:tRNA from 1 species